ensembl:lncRNA
AAAUGCAGCUGGCCAUGUAGCUGAGAAAGUGCAAGGUCCUCCACCCUGAAGGCUUUCCUCCUGGUGGAAAUCUUAAAGGACCAGCUUUACUUCAACAAUACUGACACUGAUUGAAGACUACGUUCACAAAGGCUGAACAUCUUACAGAUAACUUCACCAGAGCAACAUUUAUACAUUUUUCUUUGCAUCUUGGAGAACCUGCCACAGAUCUUCUAGAGACUAUGACUCAUAAUUGCUUCUGUUUCUGCAGGAUUGAUUAGACCAGUGUGUUGGUUUACCUUAAAAUACCAGAAAAUGUAAUGGAUACAGGGACAACCUUUUAUAGCCGAGGUGGGAAUGAUAAAAAUUCUCUGCAAACACUAAAGAAACUGUCUGGAUGCCUAUAUAAGCUGUCGACUUGAAAUUUCUGUUUCCCCAAGUACCAAGAACACUGAA